AAAAUGCAAGGGGUGCAGGGGAAGUUGUGUUCCCCUGCCUGUUAAGGAGGGUGCUCAGACACGCAGUGUCGUCGAAGGGAAC
rfam:Clostridium intestinale TRNW genomic scaffold scaffold1, whole genome shotgun sequence.